rnacentral:rRNA from 1 species
GAUUGCGAUCAUACCAGCACUAAUGCACCGGAUCCCAUCAGAACUCCGCAGUUAAGCGUGCUUGGGCGAGAGUAGUUCUAGGAUGGGUGACCCCCUGGGAAGUCCUCGUGUUGCAACCC